rnacentral:rRNA from 1 species
AUGCAGCAUCUACUCAUAGUGGUGAUGGGCAAGAAGCACCGUGGUCCAGCUGAUGGUGUCGCGGUUCUGCUCGGGCGCCAUCGCCUGAAGGUCGCUGUUGCCGGUGUGGUCUCGCCGCCAUGGAUACCAGAGGAGGAAGAGGCGCUCUUCCAUGUCGGCUACAGGAGAAAGAGGAGGAGGAGGCGCUUCUCCGGCCAGACCCGGGGUCGGGGCCGGCACGCCACAGGCAUCUACGCCUACGACCACGACCACACGCACGGGCUGACGCUGCUGAUGAAGAUGCGUACCCUUAGCCACGAAUUUGUCCCCGAUCCCAUCCAUGCAGGUGGGCUUCGCUGCCAUGGAAUGACACCUCUGAUCUCCCAUGUAGAUGAGCUCGGGUUCAUGGAAGCCAUGUCCAUAAAGCAAACUGAGUGCUUCGAAGGAGGAUUUGCAAAAGAUGAGAUUUCAAAUGGCUUGAAUAGGAAGAGAUGCAGAUCAUUAUUCUGGACAGAUUUACCAAUUAGAAGAACCAUAUCUUCCCCGCGAGGCGCUACAGAUCACAUGGGCACUGUCAUGAAGGCCGCGAAGGCGUGGCCGGCGGCAUGGGUUAGCCUGUGGGUGGUACCACCAUGCUGCUCUCGACGUGCAUUGUGGUGCUGCUCGUGGCGGCUUUCGGAGGGAGACAAAGUGCAUUAUGCUUUCAGUGCUACAGACUUUGGAAACUGGUGUUCUAACGUUAGUUCCGACAAGAGGGCCACUAUAACCACCAUCUGGUCAGAGUUUCGUCGCUGCGCCAACAUUCGUGAAGGAGACGUCUGUGCAUUCCAUUUCAGGAUCACUUCAAAGCGCUGCCUGGUUUUCACCGUGCACCGCCUCUAG